rnacentral:misc_RNA from 1 species
ACCUUAAAUACUACUAGGAAAAUUUCACUAUCAAUAUUUAUACUUUUAAGGCCCAAGAAUAGUACAGAGCAAAAAGAAGUUUUAAAAAAUAACUCAACCCCAGAACAUAAUGGGAUGAAUCUAUCGGGCCUGCAAACCAGAAGUUUGGAAUGACACUUAUCUACUCAGCCUUUGGUUCUCAUGAUUGUGAUGCUUCCUUUUCCACCUUCAGU